CAAGACAUGCUCACCAAGCAUCAAAGUAUCCGCAAACCAACCGAAACUUAGGAAAGACACAAAACAACAACAGAAAACAAAGAAAACACACGAAAAACAAAAACUAAAAACAAACCAACGGUGGGUUGCCUCCCACCAAGCGCUAGAGUUAGAGUCUCCAGCCCGACUUCAGAUCUGACCCUUAGUGAGGAUCGUGCAGAGUGUGAGACUCCACCACCAUGGACGAGCUCUGGUGCUCGUAAUAUUGUAACACCCCGUACUUUUCCCUAUGUUGAGAAAUAGUGUCUUAACACUAAUGAGAGUACUGAGAUGUUGAAAUACGAGACUUUUUUUUUAUGAGCAGAUAAGACAGAUUGUCUUUAAAUAGAGUUAUGAGGGAAUAAACCAAUGAUAGAGUUAGAGUGAAGAGAUUCGAGAAAUGAGUUGAGAUAGAGAUGCUGAUUGAUUUGAGCUGAGAUUUUAUUUUAUUUCCAACUACCGGGAAUAGAGUUACCGGAUACCGAGUUAUCAGAGAUUGACUGACCUAUUAAGAAAAUAGGAAUAAUGAGUUUGACAUAGAGUCGAGGAAGAAAGAGUGAGAACCUUGAUGAAAAGAGUCGGUCAGAGAGACGUCUAGUUUGUUUGUGUUUGCCGACUGCUUUGAUGUGAUGAUAUGUGAAUUUACGUGACUGAUUGAUUAUGCGAUUUCUGUGACGUGUGUCAUUAUGACCAAGUUAUUAUGAUUUUUAUUUGAGACCUUAGCACUUGGAAUUUUGAUUAAGUUUCCAAAGCAAGUGCGGUUUAUUUUUACCAAGAAAUCGAAUGAUGCCGGUUUAUGGAAAUGUUUUUCCAAGCAUAAUUUUUUUUUUGUUAUUUUUCCUACGAAGAGGAAUAUUAUAAUUGAGAGAGUGCACAAGUAUUAGUGCUAUAAUUAUUUUAUUUGAUCACAUAAAUAAUUAUGCUAUGGUAUUUUAUUAAUGAGUAAUAUUUCCAUAAAUUUUGUGAUUAUUAUUUAAUCACCCUUCUCACACUAUUAUUUAAUUUCCCAAGCAUGUGCCUAAAUACCACAAAUUGUCAAGUGAGAGUGUAGAGAUUGAGAGUGUAGAGAUUAGAGAGAGAGACUAAGGCAUUAAUUGCCAAAUAUUUGAUAAGAUUCACAAAUCUUUAAAAGAUUAGCCAAAUCCUCACAAAUCUUGCAAGCCAAUUCUCUCUCUUCUCCACCCCAUUUUCGGUCAUCUCUCUCUCCCCUUCAUCUCUCAUUUCCUCCAUUGUCAACCAUUGGAGAGACCUUCGGAGCUUCCAAAAAUUAUACAAAACACAUCAAUCCACUCCAAAAUCUUGCCUAAACACCUUCAAUCUCCUUGGAUUCAAGAAGAUCAUUGAAGAUUGGCUUCAAGGCUAGAGAGAGAAAGUUUGAUUGUUGGUGUAAAGUUUGGACACGAGCCGAGCAAGGAAGUAAGUAACUCCACUUUGACGGGAGAUUUUGAGUAAGGUCUUCAGGUGAGCAAUAUUUUGAGUAUAUAUUUAUCAUAUGAGCUUUCUAAAAUGAUUUGAUGAUGUUAUGAGAUUAACAAAUGUUUUGAGAUAAAUGAUGUUUGAGAACUGUUUGACUUGCCAAUUUUUUAUGUUGAGCUUGUAUGUUACCCUCUACUGAUGAGAUGAGACGAAUUCGGUCCUGCCACAAGCGAGAUUUUGUGCACAGAGGUGACUGUGAGCCGUCUUCGGGUCGGCCGGUCACGGUACUUGAGAGGGAGGCCUACUUCUCAGUACCUUAAUUAUAAUGAUGAGUUGUAGAUGCGGUACAUACAUGUCGAUUACUUUGUCUGCAGACAUUUAUUUAUGAUGUUGAUUAUGAAAACUGCAUGCACAGAUUCAAUUAUGCUAACUUAUUUCUGUGUAUUGCUGAGAUGUGGCAAGCUUCAAACUUAUAGCUCUAAGAGCACCUUUCUUGUUUUUCGGCGUUUGCCCACUGAGUAUUAUGUACUCACGCCCUGCAUGUAUUUCUAAAUGUGCAGGCUAAGCGGGGAGCGAGAUUGGUCUGGUGCUGGUGGGGAACCGUUUCAAUCGAUGUGAUCAUAUUUAAUAUUGCCGUUAUGAUUGAUAGAGUCUUGAUGAUUAAAAAUACUUCGUUUCCUUUCGAAUCAAGUAAUAUACUCACGGUUAUGUGUCUUCAUACAUAUAAUCGGUUCGCCUUUUGCUGCGAUACUCUGCAUAUUAUGCUUCCUUAUGAAAAAUGAGCUAUACCCAUUUUGUUUUUGUUCGUGAAAUUCCUGAUAAUUAAAAAGUUAUAACUACCAUGACGAUUUUA